rnacentral:rRNA from 1 species
AUUGAACGCUGGCGGCAGGCCUAACACAUGCAAGUCGAGCGGAGCGGCGGACGGGUGAGUAAUGCCUGGGAAUCUGCCUGGUAGUGGGGGAUAACGUCCGGAAACGGGCGCUAAUACCGCAUACUAUCAGAUGAGCCUAGGUCGGAUUAGCUAGUUGGUGAGGGAAUGGCUCACCAAGGCGACGAUCCCUAGCUUGUCUGAGAGGAUGAUCAGCCACACUGGAACUGAGACACGGUCCAGACUCCUACGGGAGGCAGCAGUGGGGAAUAUUGCAGAAUGGGUGAAACCCUGAUGCAGCCAUGCCGCGUGUGUGAAGAAGGCCUUCGGGUUGUAAAGCACUUUCAGCGAGGAGGCGUUACUCACAGAAUAAGCACCGGCUAACUUCGUGCCAGCAGCCGCGGUAAUUC